rnacentral:rRNA from 1 species
UUAAAAAGCUCGUAGUUGGAUUUCUGUCGGUGAAUAUCAGUCCGCCCACAGCGGUAGGUACGUGAUAUUUCACCGGCAUCUUCCUGGGGAAUGUGUCUGCUCUUUAUUGAGUGGUACAUAAGCCAGGACUUUUACUUUGAAGAAAUGAGAGUGUUUCAAGCAGGCAUGCGCCGUGAAUACGUUAGCAUGGGAUAAUAGCAUCGGACCUCGUUCCAAAGCUGUUGGUUUCUUGGACCGAGGUAAAGGUGAAUAGGGAUUGUUGGGGGCAUUCGUAUUUGACUGUCAGAGGUGAAAUUCUUGGAUUUGUUGAAGACGGACUACUGCGAAAGCAUCUGCCAAAGAUGUUCUCAUUGAUCAAGAACGAAAGUUAGGUGAUCGAAGACGAUCAGAUACCGUCCUAGUCUUAACCAUAAACUAUGCCGACUGGAGAUCGGGGGUCGUUAAUUAUGUGACGCCCUCUGCAUCUUGAGAGAAAUCAAAGUCUUUGGGUUCCGGGGGGAGUAUGGUCGCAAGGCUGAAACUUAAAGGAAUUGACGGAAGGGCACCACCAGGAGUGGAGCCUGCGGCUUAAUUUGACUCAACACGGGGAAACUUACCAGGUCCAGACAUAGUAAGGAUUGACAGACUGAUAGCUCUUUCGAGAUUCUAUGGGUGGGGGUGCAUGGCCGUUCUUAAUUGGUGGAGUGAUUUGUCUGGUUAAUUCCGUUAACGAACGAGACCUUAGCCUGCUAAAUAGGAUCCCCAACCUUCGGGUAGGAGGAGGCCUUCUUAGAGGGACGUCGUGUGUCUAACACGAGGAAGUGUGAGGCAAUAACAGGUCUGUGAUGCCCUUAGAUGUUCUGGGCUGCACGCGCGCUACACUGAUGCGUUCAACGAGUUUUUACCUUUUCCGGAAGGAACGGGCAACCUUGUGAAAGCGCAUCGUGAUGGGGAUAGAUUAUUGCAAUUUUUAAUCUUC